CUGCCUUGAUAUGCUUAGCACACCAAUCUGGUCCUCCCCCUCCACCCAUUGGAGCUGGUUCCUCAACCCACUUCAUGAAAUGCAGAAAGUACAAAACGCCCAUAGAAUGUGGAAUAAUAACGGCCUUAUUCCCACCAUUGGUAGCAACCAUCAAUUCUAUAUUAGUCUUCAUGCGGCUUAAAGUUUGAUCACGGACCUCAGUGUUCUGAAAUGAAAGUCUCCAGUCAUAUGAGGCCAUAUACAUUGUUUUCUCCUCGUAUCCAAUGCGUGCCAAGUUAGCCAUCAGAACUGCCCACACAAAGUAACCUGGAGCAAAGUAAUCAGCAGCAACAAGUCCAGAUACAGGCCUAACCCUUAUGCCCGGAG
rnacentral:misc_RNA from 1 species